GAUUGCGGACCUCUACGGAGGCGAGCAAGUAUGCCAUCCUUGUGUUAUGUAUAUACACCCGUUAGAGUGUGCGCUUGUACGCUUGUGCACUGCGCACACACUGCAUUUUACACCCAUUUCUCCUUACUUUCUUAACCUCUUUUUGCUUGGCAACAAGCAUCAAAAACAAUCGAAAACUGCCAGCAAUGGAUCACUCGGUUCUC
rnacentral:rRNA from 1 species